AAGCGACUCUCUGUCUGUACUGACGCUGAGCUCGAAGCGUGGGGAGCAAACAGGAUUAGAUACUGGUAGUCCACGCGUAAACGAUGAGUGCUAAGUGUUAGGGGGUUUCCCCCCUUAGUGCUGCAGCUAACGCAUUAAGCACUCCGCUGGGGAGUACGACCGCAAGGUUGAAACUCAAAGGAAUUGACGGGGGCCCGCACAAGCGGUGGAGCAUGUGGUUUAAUUCGAAGCAACGCGAAGAACCUUACCAGGUCUUGACAUCCUUUGACAACUCUAGAGAUAGAGCUUUCCCUUCGGGGACAAAGUGACAGGUGGUGCAUGGUUGUCGUCAGCUCGUGUCGUGAGAUGUUGGGUUAAGUCCCGCAACGAGCGCAACCCUUAUUGUUAGUUGCCAUCAUUCAGUUGGGCACUCUAGCGAAACUGCCGGUGACAAACCGGAGGAAGGUGGGGAUGACGUCAAAUCAUCAUGCCCCUUAUGACCUGGGCUACACACGUGCUACAAUGGACAGUACAAUGAGCAGCGACACGGCGACGUGAAGCGAAUCUCAUAAAGCUGUUCUCAGUUCGGAUUGUAGGCUGCAACUCGCCUACAUGAAGCCGGAAUCGCUAGUAAUCGCGGAUCAGCACGCCGCGGUGAAUACGUUCCCGGGCCUUGUACACACCGCCCGUCACACCACGAAAGUUUGUAACACCCAAAGUCGGUGAGGUAACCUUCGGGAGCCAGCCGCCUAAGGUGGGAUAGAUGAUUGGGGUGAAGUCGUAACAAGGUAACCA
rnacentral:rRNA from 1 species